GUCGUCAUCACCGCUGCCAUUGCUGUCGUUGCCCCUUGAAUUCUAUCCCCCCUUUUCCCCCUAGGAUUGGGGUUUCGGCAAUGGAGCGGAACGAGGCGGGGGGUGAGAGCCGAGGGGUUUAUCACAUGCACUGGAAAAUAUUGCUGAGAAGGACAGAACCAGAAAGAGAAGUCGAAAGCUUGAAGUGGUCUCCAAUGUAUUCCUUUCGAGUCUUGUAGUAAUAUUCUUUUUCCUCGGUCCUCAGG
rnacentral:lncRNA from 1 species